UCGAUUCCCUUAGUAGCGGCGAGCGAAACGGGAAGAGCCCAAACCAACAAGCUUGCUUGUUGGGGUUGUAGGACACUCUAUACGGAGUUACAAAGGACGACAUUAGACGAAUCAUCUGGAAAGAUGAAUCAAAGAAGGUAAUAAUCCUGUAGUCGAAAAUGUUGUCUCUCUUGAGUGGAUCCUGAGUACGACGGAGCACGUGAAAUUCCGUCGGAAUCUGGGAGGACCAUCUCCUAAGGCUAAAUACUCUCUAGUGACCGAUAGUGAACCAGUACCGUGAGGGAAAGGUGAAAAGCACCCCGGAAGGGGAGUGAAAUAGAACCUGAAACCGUGUGCUUACAAGUAGUCAGAGCCCGUUAAUGGGUGAUGGCGUGCCUUUUGUAGAAUGAACCGGCGAGUUACGAUUUGAUGCAAGGUUAAGCAGUAAAUGUGGAGCCGUAGCGAAAGCGAGUCUGAAUAGGGCGUUUAGUAUUUGGUCGUAGACCCGAAACCAGGUGAUCUACCCUUGGUCAGGUUGAAGUUCAGGUAACACUGAAUGGAGGACCGAACCGACUUACGUUGAAAAGUGAGCGGAUGAACUGAGGGUAGCGGAGAAAUUCCAAUCGAACCUGGAGAUAGCUGGUUCUCUCCGAAAUAGCUUUAGGGCUAGCCUCAAGUGAUGAUUAUUGGAGGUAGAGCACUGUUUGGACGAGGGGCCCCUCUCGGGUUACCGAAUUCAGACAAACUCCGAAUGCCAAUUAAUUUAACUUGGGAGUCAGAACAUGGGUGAUAAGGUCCGUGUUCGAAAGGGAAACAGCCCAGACCACCAGCUAAGGUCCCAAAAUAUAUGUUAAGUGGAAAAGGAUGUGGCGUUGCCCAGACAACUAGGAUGUUGGCUUAGAAGCAGCCAUCAUUUAAAGAGUGCGUAAUAGCUCACUAGUCGAGUGACACUGCGCCGAAAAUGUACCGGGGCUAAACAUAUUACCGAAGCUGUGGAUUGUCCUUUGGACAAUGGUAGGAGAGCGUUCUAAGGGCGUUGAAGCAUGAUCGUAAGGACAUGUGGAGCGCUUAGAAGUGAGAAUGCCGGUGUGAGUAGCGAAAGACGGGUGAGAAUCCCGUCCACCGAUUGACUAAGGUUUCCAGAGGAAGGCUCGUCCGCUCUGGGUUAGUCGGGUCCUAAGCUGAGGCCGACAGGCGUAGGCGAUGGAUAACAGGUUGAUAUUCCUGUACCACCUAUAAUCGUUUUAAUCGAUGGGGGGACGCAGUAGGAUAGGCGAAGCGUGCGAUUGGAUUGCACGUCUAAGCAGUAAGGCUGAGUAUUAGGCAAAUCCGGUACUCGUUAAGGCUGAGCUGUGAUGGGGAGAAGACAUUGUGUCUUCGAGUCGUUG
rnacentral:rRNA from 1 species